rnacentral:tRNA from 1 species
GGGCCUGUAGCUCAGUUGGGAGAGCGCUACAUUCGCAUUGUAGAGGCCAGGGGUUCAACUCCCCUCAGGUCCA